UGCUGACUGAUGAUGGAGAAAAUUAAUGUCUGAACAAAUGAAAUCACAGUGAUAUCAGUGUUUCCUCUGAGGUCAGCA